rnacentral:tRNA from 1 species
GCCCUUCUUCAAACUUGCAAUUUGAUGUGGAUCACCUCGGGGCUUGGUAAGAAGAGGAGUUA